UUAUGUCUCGCAUUCUCCGGGGAUCUCUCAGGGCGAGCAGGAUCCAGCGGCGAUCGUGGAGCGCGUCCGUCGCGCCGGCGCCGGCGGAGGAUGAUCCCAGGAGCUUGUAUGGCAGUGGAUGGGAUGCGGGGCCGCGAGCGGUGAGAGUGGCGGUGUGGUGGGAUUUCGAGGACUGCGACAUCCCAGCUGGGAUUCCUGCGACGAAUGUGAGCAAUAAUAUCAUCUCUGGGCUGCGAACCAGGGGAUUCAAGGGUCCAGUGUCGAUCGACGCGUAUGGUGAUACAUGGCAGCUCUCGCGGAGCACACAGGAGGCGUUGGCUUCCACUGGGAUUUCUCUCCACCAUUUGCCAUCGUCUCGCAAGAAUUUGGCCUCAGAUCGAACUCUCAUGCUGGAUUUGGUGCUGUGGACUGUCGAUCAUCCGCCACCAGCGCAUCUCUUCGUCAUCUCCACGGACAGUGAUCUCUCCAGUGCAUUACACUCCCUCCGGAUGAAGAACUACAACGUUCUUCUGGCAUGCAACUCUCACUCGGCCUCCCCGGCUCUCCUUGCCGCAGCUUCGGUAGUAUGGCAGUGGGGUAAGCUCGCUAGAGGAGAAGGCCUAGUAGCACAGACAAUCGUGAGCAGCGUCCAUCGCUCCUCGCAGGAGUUUCUACAGGAAAUAAGUUCGCCGCCGCCACCGCCACCAUCGUCUCCUCCACCAUCAUUUACGCCGCCAACGCCAACGCCAACGCCUCCACCAUCAUUUACGCCGCCAACACCACCGCCACCUUUGUCUCCAUCGCUGCCAAGUUCGCCAUCUUCAUACACUCCAUCUCCGCCACCACCUAUUCCAGCAUCACCACGUCCAGCUCAAGAUUCUCUGCCAGGGAGACUAGAGAAACAGGAUUCUUUACAGGACUUCCACAAGGAUAUUUGCGCACUGCUCCAGCAAGCGGCCUCGACGCUCAGCCAAAAGCCUCCGGAAUCGAUGCUUUUGAGUGUGACCAAGGCAGGUAGGAAGGAUGAGCACUCCACAGCAACAGAGAACAGGAGUGUUUCGAAGGAAAAAGCCCUGGCGAAUACUGAAAACGACUCCGGCACCAACCAGCCCGAGUCUAUAAAGCAGUCGUCCUGUGAGGCACCGUCCGGGGGCUCCACGCAUGAUGCUCGGCAAAGAGAUAGCAAAGUCGCCGUCCAAGUCGCAAAGCAAGUAGCAGCCACCACCGAGAGCUCGACGACUCAGUGUCAGCGGCAGAUAAAUGCGGUGACAGUGAAGGAUGGAAACGCAGUGAGCACAUCUCAAAGUCGCUCGCCAGGUGCUGUCACCAGCGCCCACGAAGGAAAGUGGACGUGGAGAAGGUUUCUGUUCGGAUCCAAGGCUGCGAGUCGAGCAAAAGUCGAUGGUGGACAGGAGGAGAUUAAGGAAAGCUUUCCCAGCCAUUCUAUUUCUCCGCCAGACGAUGAGGCAUCAAAUCAAUCAUUUCCAAGGCGCUCCUGGAGUCACUUCUGGAGGCGUACAACGGCAGCAAAAGAGGACAAGGGAGACAACGCGUCGGAUAUUGUGAAACAGUUUUCUAAGACUGAGGAAGGUGCCUCCCUUUUAUCCAAAUCGCAAAGCCAGAAGGAAUUCACAAGCUUGCUUUGCGAGUCCGGACCGCCAUGCAUUCGAAACUGGGAAGAGGACAGGGUAUCAGAGGUCGUCAGCCGUCUCGUAGCCGAAAAGGAGAUUGAUGCCUCGGCAUGGGAGCUUGAAAAGGAUCCUUCCUCGCAGCUUAAAACGGAAGAAGAUGACAUCCAAAACUCGGACGACACUGCUCCCGCAUUAAAUGAUCAACCGUGUCCUUGGGAAACGAUACAGGGACACUACCCCAGCCUCGAGGAGCUGAGGAUUUGGAUGGUCUACUUUUUAAAUGUGGAACAGGAGCGGAGAAGCUUCGACGUCUCUCAUCUCAAGGCAGAGUUUAAGAAGCAGUUUGGCCUCUCUCUCAACCUCAACAUAUUCGGCUGUGUGAGGAUCAAGGACCUCUUGGGCGUCAUGCAAGACAUCGUUCACGUAUAUUAUCCGAAGUCUACAGUGUGCAUGAUAAGAACCAGGACGUUUCCCAGGCUGGCUAAGGUGAAUCCACGCUCGUUGAGUGAUUACGCACCGCUGCUCGAGGAGUUGCUACUGGAACACCCGGAUGGAAUUCCCAUUAGUAUGAUCAAGGCCAGGUUCUACAGCAAGUUUAGCUGCGACAUCGAUCAUCGAAAGCUUGGCUACUCGAGACUGGACAUGUUUUUGAGAGCUGCACGGAGUGACAUUUAUGCCAGACUGGACAGUGUGGAGCAUUCUGUCUAUGUCUUUAUUCGAAGACAAGAGGAAGAGAGUACUGGCGAGGAGGAGCAAGAGGAAGAAGAAGAACAAGGAAACGAAGGACGGCCAGCGAAAUUUAUCGUGGACAAGGAGAUCAGCCUAUGACACAGGACAGGACUAAAGCGUAAAAAAUGAAAACUGACACAAUGGAAUCACGCUCGAACUGGAAAGCUGAGAUGCUACAUGUGCUUUGCUAGUUGGCAGCGAGAAUUUUUGUUCGACGCAGGCUCUCCCAUCCACUCCGUCCUGGAAAAUCUUAUCUUUUGCUCUAAACUUGGAGCCAGAUACGUACCGAGAAUCGCUCCACAGCGCUUCUCUCGAGGGAGAUCAAAGAUGCUGCGCCAAGUUUCCAGUUUUCACCGGGGUCCAAGCACCCUGCGGAUUAAAAUCUCGUCGCCAAAGGCUGUCCAGCAGCUGGAUGCCUCUUCCAACCAGGAUUGCGACGUCUGGAUUACUCUAGGAUGAUUGAGAGGCGACCGACACAAAUCUCCUGUGGAAGCUGCAUUGGCUGUUAGAAAGCGUCAACAACCGUGAAAUAUACAAUGGCUGCGAGCGCGCGCGAGAACAAAAAAAAGGCGAGAAAAAUGGCAACGUGA